CGGUGCUCAACAUAAACAUACUAAUGUGCUACCCACAGCGUCGUGUGGCUGCCACAAGCCCUUCCUCUGCUCCCCCCUCUCUCCUCUCCACACUACACACACAGGCACAGGCAUACCGAAGCAACAGCUGAACGGGGACAACAUAGUCGUGCUUGUUUCAGACCAAACGACCGCCUCCCUGUUUUUCUUCGUCCUUCUUCACGGAUCAAUGGCUGAUCUUCAGAUCCCUUUGAAUCCCUCGCGUCCUUCGGCAGCGCGCCGUCGAAGGAAAUGGACAACUCGCACUUCUCCAAAAUGCUGAAGGAGUGCAAGAUCAUUGGCAAGAGCUUCACGUCGACGGACGCCGACCUGCUCUUCAGCAAGGUGAAGGCGAAGGAAGCACGCAAAAUCAGCUUCACGGAGUUCAAGGAAAAGGCUAUUCCCGAGAUCGCAGCCAAGAUGAAGAAGACCCCUGCUGACAUCGAGGUCAUGAUAGCCAACGCCGCCCCCAAGUCCAGCGGCACCAAGGCCGACACGGUGCGUUUCCAUGAUGAUAAAAGCACCUACACCGGUGCUGCAAAGCAGGGCGGCCCGACAAACGUGGACCGAAACGCCGGCUCGCUCGCAGGUGUCGUGGACCGUCGCCAGGAGACAAUCGACAACCGCGGCACCACUGCGUAUAAAAAUGUGAAGCACCAAACGGCGAGUACAUGUGAUUAAGUUCAGCGCACAGGCGUUUGCAGUCCGUGGGAAAGACGGCGAUGCUGCAUGCAGCGGCGAAGAGAUGGUAUUGUGUACUGCCGAAGUUGGUGAUUGCCAGCUGCGAAGAGGAGCGCAAUUAUUCUACCCUGCGGGGGGGUGCGGCUGCUGGGUUGGGCGUACACUCCGCCGCUCCAUCUCUCUCUGUGCUCCCUCUCAGCCGCUUCAAACUUAUACGUCCUCAAAACAGCUGAGACGCACCUUUGUAUCAUGCAGGUCGAGUGACAUGUCUGCGGCCGGCGGUGAAGUGUUUACAAGAGUUGCGCGUCCACGGCGCUGAGGGACUCGAAACCAGAGGCAUGUGAGACAGACUGCUUUGCCGCGCUGUUCGACAGCAACGGCAGUGUCCUCCAAGAUGAUCUGACAGCGGUGGGAGACCGCCGGCAAUGCCCUCCGACCAACCGCUCCCUCUUCUUUUUAUUCGUUUUUUUUUCUUCGCUUCGAUGGUGUUGUAAAGCGGUCGAGUUGGGCACCGCGUCGUCGCGCAUCCGUCUUCACCACUCCCCUCCUGCGUGAAAAGGCCGUUCUCUUUCAAACGUUUUUGUUCGGGUGGUGGCGGUGGUGAUGGGGUGAUGUCUGACUCUCUCUUUUCGUACUUCACAUGUAUGUCUUCCUGUGCGUUCACGUAUACCUCACUGUUGACUGUGAUGUUUCUUUGUUGUUGUUCUCGUCGCUUGACCUUCGUUGUCUUCAGCAAACAUGUCGCUUCUCUGUCUCUAUGUCUCUCCUUCAUCGUUGUUUUUUGCUAUUCACAUGUUGUUUGUCCUUCGGGCUCACCUUAAACGCAAACACACACACUCCCCCUCCCCCUUCUUUGCUGUGCCUGGAAUGUGUCCUCUCCUUCUGGGUCUUCCCACGCCAGCCUUAUUUCCUCUUUAUGCUUUUCC
rnacentral:misc_RNA from 1 species